rnacentral:lncRNA from 1 species
GACCUCAGGCAUCUAGAGUCUGUGCACAAAGGGAGAAUCCAUAGCAAGCAUGGGCACAAUGUGUGAGCUGCUACUACACGCCAGUUUUUUUUUUUUAAGCACAUUAUUCCAUCUAAUUCUCACAGCUAUUCUGCAGGCAAGGAUCUUUCACCCAUACUGACAAAGGGAAACUGAGGCUCACAAGCACCCAGUUAUUUAUGCACAGGUGAUGAAAUUGGUCCUUGGAUGAUCUAGGAACCAAGG